rnacentral:lncRNA from 1 species
AAAAAUUAGUUUUGAGCUUUGACCUUUGUCAACCAUGAUUCAGAUAUCAGCCUGACCUUUAGAAAGUCUGCAAAAAGUAGUUGCCCAAUACUGGAAACCAGACAGGCGAUCACUCAGCUCUGCCUAAGAUGUGGUGGAAAUUCCUGUGGUGAAACCUUUGUAGUCUGAAAACUGAGGGUUUCGUGUGGCCUUAGGAUGCCAUUUGGCUGCUGAUUCUUUUGGGAACUAUAUGAGUCACUGCCCUGAUAGGACAUUUUAAGCACUUAGCAAAUAAUUGGCACAUAAUGAUAAAGUGAAUUUAUGUAUCAUUAUUGUUGCUUACCUCUGCUUGAUUUCAAGGUGAGGAAGAUUUAGUGGGAAAACAGCAUAGAAUGCAAGAGGAGUGGUUUUGUACAGCAACAUCCAAAACUUCAUUGGGAUAGAACACGUGUGGAAUCCACAACAAGUUUGCCAUAAGCAGAAUUGCUCUGAAUUUUAGGGAUUUUAGGUUAAGUAUGGAAGAUGAGAAGAUAUGAACUACUCAAAUGAGGUCUAAGAAAAUCUUGACAUUCUAGAUGAAGCAGAGACAGAGGAUGAGAGAGAGAGGUAAUAUAACAGAAAUCUGCAUAAAGUAGAGAAAGAGGAAAAAAGAUGAUAUUGAUUAACUCCACUGAGAAUCAAAGGAAGUGGGAUGGUGAUCAGGAAAAGUUUCACAGAAGAGAUGCCACUAAGAGAGAGAGAAAAAGAUAAGAUUUGGACCUACAUUAGCAGAAUCAUCUUUGGUGGAAGCUUUGAAACAGACUAUGCUAUCACCUGAAUCACCUACUGUGGACUGGAGUCAUGCCAGUACUUAGAAGGAAGCACAGCAAGAGAAAAUUCACAGCAUCAUUUGCAUCUCUGAAUCCAACCAGUGCUGAAAAUUUCUCUACCCCUGAACUUUCAAGAAAAAAGGGCUAAUAAAUCCUCUUAUUUCAGCUAGCUUGGAUUGGGUUUCUAUUGACUUUCAAAUCAAAUAAUUAACAAAAUUUGUAGAAAUUGAGACCAGGAUUGCAAUGUUGAAAGUAUCAUACUCCAAAACAAGGAACUGAUUGAGAUAAGAUAAAUUGGAGAUCUUUUGAGGGGAGAAGUAAGAGGGAGCUCCAUUGGUUACAUAUUAGAAAAAGAGAUGGUUAAACUUCUAUCAGAAUUUCAGCCCAUGUGCAUACCAAAAACAGAAACGUAG